rnacentral:tRNA from 1 species
UCCCUCGUGGUCCAGUGGUUAGGACUCGGUGCUUUCACUGCUGUGGCCCGGGUUCAACCCCUGGUCAGAGAA